UGCUAGUCGUGCGGGUUCAGACCCGCGGCGUAUAGCUCAGUAACACGUGGCCAAGCUACCCUACAGACGAGAGCAACCUCGGGAAACUGAGGCUAAUACUCGAUACGCGUUGUCAGGUUGAACACGACGACGCUGAAACGCUCCGGCGCUGUAGGAUGUGGCCGCGGCCGAUUAGGUAGACGGUGGGGUAACGGCCUACCGUGCCGAUAAUCGGUACGGGUUGUGAGAGCAAGAGCCCGGAGACGGAAUCUGAGACAAGAUUCCGGGCCCUACGGGGCGCAGCAGGCGCGAAACCUUUACACUGCACGCCAGUGCGAUAAGGGAACCCCGAGUGAAAGGGCAUAUCGCCCUUUCUUUUCUGGACCGUAGGGAGGUCCAGGAACAAGAGCUGGGCAAGACCGGUGCCAGCCGCCGCGGUAAUACCGGCAGCUCGAGUGAUGACCGAUUUUAUUGGGCCUAAAGCGUCCGUAGCUGGCCAUGCAAGUCCGUCGGGAAAUCCACCUGCUUAACAGGUGGGCGUCCGGCGGAAACUGCACGGCUUGGGACAGGAAGGCUCGAGGGGUACGUUCGGGGUAGGAGUGAAAUCCCGUAAUCCUGAACGGACCACCGAUGGCGAAAGCACCUCGAGAGGACUGAUCCGACAGUGAGGGACGAAAGCUGGGGUCUCGAACCGGAUUAGAUACCCGGGUAGUCCCAGCCGUAAACGAUGUCCGCUAGGUGUGUCACUCACUACG
rnacentral:rRNA from 1 species